UGACCGCUGGCGGCGUGCCUACUACAUGCAAGUCGAGCGAACGGACGCGAAGCUUGCUUCUCUGAUGUUAGCGGCGGACGGGUGAGUAACACGUGGAUAACCUACCUAUAAGACUGGGAUAACUUCGGGAAACCGGAGCUAAUACCGGAUAAUAUUUUGAACCGCAUGGUUCAAAAGUGAAAGACGGUCCUGCUGUCACUUAUAGAUGGAUCCGCGCUGCAUUAGCUAGUUGGUAAGGUAACGGCUUACCAAGGCAACGAUGCAUAGCCGACCUGAGAGGGUGAUCGGCCACACUGGAACUGAGACACGGUCCAGACUCCUACGGGAGGCAGCAGUAGGGAAUCUUCCGCAAUGGGCGAAAGCCUGACGGAGCAACGCCGCGUGAGUGAUGAAGGUCUUCGGAUCGUAAAACUCUGUUAUUAGGGAAGAACAUAUGUGUAAGUAACUGUGCACAUCUUGACGGUACCUAAUCAGAAAGCCACGGCUAACUACGUG
rnacentral:rRNA from 1 species